CGGCUAUGUCUUGCCACCCCAGAUGAUUGAGUUAUAUAUAUAUAUAUAUAUACACACACAUAUACACACAUAUACACAUACAUAUAUAUAUAUAUAUAUAAAUAUGACUCAAUCAUCGGGGGUGGCAAGACAUAGCUC